GCACCCCCAAAAAAUUUUUUAAUAAAUUAAGUUAAAAAAAGAAGCAAACUUUGGUGUGCUUACAGUUCCCCAGAAAAAUAAUUUAAAUCAAUAUUCCCAGCCCAACACCAUAGAUUUUGAUUCAGAAGUGUGGGACAGGGCCUGAAAAAAUGCAUUUUUAAUAAAUAACCAAGGAACCUUUACUGUAGGUGAACUUCAGACCACCCUCUGGGAAUCAGUGACCCAGUUCUAGAAAAAAGGAGAGACUAGGAGUAAAAAUUUGCCAGUGUUUCUCCAGCACUAGCCUUCCCUGUCCAGCUGAAUAGUAGAUCAUUUGCCCACCCGAGACUGUAUGUCCUUGCAAUGAAAAGAAAGACUGCUUAAUGAAUGUAGCCUUUCCAGACAUCGAACUUGAUUUGUUCAACUUCCAUAUUUAACAGUUAACCAUCUGACUUUAAUCUGAUUUCUUAAAUAUGUUUUCCUACCAGCCAGAGUGUGUGCUGACCAAAAACAUGAAUUUCAGUCACUAGUUGUAACUCUCACGGGUAACGAAUAAAUGGCAUUGUACUUUAUUAGUCUACUAUAAAUCUGAUUAAUGUGAAUCAAUUCCCCAGAGCCAGCUCUCUCCCGAACGAACUGAGAACCAUGACUUUAUGAACCUGCAAACUUCAGGGCCAAUGUACAUUUGGAGGCCUGAUUUAUCCUUUCCUUAGUAUCACUGAGCUGGAAGACACAUUUUGAGGCCCAGAAUCCUGACAUCUCCAUCCCUCCAAAGGGGGCAAACCUGGAAGAGUAGAGAUGCAGAAAAACCUACACCUCCAUCGCCUAAAAGCAGAUUAAAAGACUGAUGGGAGCUUGUGACCCUACGUAGUGGAACCACCCUGUGCUCACUGGCCUGGGAGCACUGUGCACAGCAGCCGUGGUACAUAAUCGAAAUAGUGUGGCAAUCCCUACAGCUGAAUGUGAAUCCCUUGGAGGUGACCCGAGUCUUCCUCAUCCAAGUUUACUUCUCGCCCACACAGAGCACGUGAUAAGGAGCCUCCGUUCCGUAGGCUGCCUGGCGGGCUGGCUGAAUGAAGACAUCAAUCGGAAGAAGUGGGGCAGGUAUGCUGUUCCCUUUGUACAGAAGCAGAAAUUGAAACCAGCAGAAACCUGGGACUGGGAACCCUUUCCCAAGGAACUCCUGUUCUUGAAAGCAGACGCAUUUUCCUGCCACUGCCCCAGGACUGAACCACACGCUGUCACAGAGCAUC